UGAACGAACGAAAUGCCUUAGUAGCAUUUUCUCUAUAUUUUAAUGAGAAUUUCUAGUUUGUAAAAAAUGUUAAGUAUUCAAAAAUCUGGAAUAGAUUUCGUAAUUUGGAAGUAGUAACAGCAUGCGGAAUGAGGAUCGUAUAGAUAGAUCAAGCAGACACCGGCCGUAUGACCGAAAUUCAAAAUUAAGUAAAACUUGUGUCUGCCUCAUAAUUUUGGGCAUUACAUUGAUUACAGUAUUGGGAAUAUUUUGUGUAUUCGCACCGAGGGAAUGGUUACAAAAGCUCCGAUUUUGAAGGACGGAUUCUUCCGAUUAAUACAAUUAUGAAACGCGUAUGUAGAUAUGAAUAUACGUGUAUUGAUUAUUUUUGUGCAGUGUAAAUAAAUCAUCGUAUCAAGGAAGAAUUGAUUAAUAGAAAACUUCGAGAAUUGGCUAAAUAAUAGUAAACAGAAGGCGCAGGAAAUCAGAACUUUUGGAAAAAUUCCGCAUCAACAUAAUCUACCAGAAAUUUCAGAAAUGUGCGGGGCUAUCUAUACUUUAAAAUGCCGUAAAGUCAUGUCAACAUUAUUGUCAUAUAUAGCGUGCUCAGUUAUAUUACGAUAUUCGGCUUUAUAAUAUAUUUUAUUUAUGUGUUA